rnacentral:rRNA from 1 species
GACGUAGGGCGCGAGCGUUGUCCGGAUUUAUUGGGCGUAAAGCGCUCGUAGGCGGUUCGUCGCGUCGGCUGUGAAAACCCGGAGCUCAACUCCGGGCCUGCAGUCGAUACGGGCAGGCUCGAGUUCGGUAGGGGAGACUGGAAUUCCUGGUGUAGCGGUGAAAUGCGCAGAUAUCAGGAGGAACACCGGUGGCGAAGGCGGGUCGCUGGGCCGAUACUGACGCUGAGGAGCGAAAGCGUGGGGAGCGAACAGG